UCCUACGGGAGGCAGCAGUGGGGAAUAUUGGACAAUGGGGGCAACCCUGAUCCAGCAAUGCCGCGUGAGUGAUGAAGGCCUUAGGGUUGUAAAGCUCUUUUACCGGGGACGAUGAUGACGGUACCCGGAGAAUAAGCCCCGGCUAACUUCGUGCCAGCAGCCGCGGUAAUACGAAGGGGGCGAGCGUUGUUCGGAGUUACUGGGCGUAAAGGGCGCGUAGGCGGCGCUCCAAGUUAGGCGUGAAAGCCCCGGGCUCAACCUGGGAAUUGCGCUUAAGACUGGAGUGCUCGAGUGCGGAAGAGGUGAGUGGAAUUCCCAGUGUAGAGGUGAAAUUCGUAGAUAUUGGGAAGAACACCAGUGGCGAAGGCGGCUCACUGGUCCGCAACUGACGCUGAGGCGCGAAAGCGUGGGGAGCAAACAGGAUUAGAUACCCUGGUAGUCCACGCCGUAAACGAUGAGUGCUAGACGUUGGGGAACUUAGUUCCUUGGUGUCGCAGCUAACGCAUGAAGCACUCCGCCUGGGGAGUACGGCCGCAAGGUUAAAACUCAAAGGAAUUGACGGG
rnacentral:rRNA from 1 species